rnacentral:rRNA from 1 species
AGUGAACGCUGGCGGUAGGCCUAACACAUGCAAGUCGAACGGCAGCACAGGAGAGCUUGCUCUCUGGGUGGCGAGUGGCGGACGGGUGAGGAAUACAUCGGAAUCUACUCUGUCGUGGGGGAUAACGUAGGGAAACUUACGCUAAUACCGCAUACGACCUACGGGUGAAAGCAGGGGACCUUCGGGCCUUGCGCGAUUGAAUGAGCCGAUGUCGGAUUAGCUAGUUGGCGGGGUAAAGGCCCACCAAGGCGACGAUCCGUAGCUGGUCUGAGAGGAUGAUCCGCCACACGGGAACUGAGACACGGUCCAGACUCCUACGGGAGGCAGCAGUGGGGAAUAUUGGACAAUGGGCGCAAGCCUGAUCCAGCCAUACCGCGUGGGUGAAGAAGGCCUUCGGGUUGUAAAGCCCUUUUGUUGGGAAAGAAACAGCAGCUCUAACGCAGUUUGCGAAUGACGGUACCUGAAGAAUAAGCACCGGCUAACUACGUGCCAGCCGCCGCGGUAA